rnacentral:miRNA from 1 species
UGGGUUUUGAAUUUGCAGUAACAGGUGUGAGCAUUCUAGCAGCAGUUUGAUGAUCAUGUAUGAUACUGCAAACAG